rnacentral:rRNA from 1 species
UGCCAGACUCCUACGGGAGGCAGCAGUGGGGAAUAUUGCACAAUGGGGGAAACCCUGAUGCAGCGACGCCGCGUGAGCGAUGAAGUAUUUCGGUAUGUAAAGCUCUAUCAGCAGGGAAGAAGAUGACGGUACCUGACUAAGAAGCCCCGGCUAACUACGUGCCAGCAGCCGCGGUAAUACGUAGGGGGCAAGCGUUAUCCGGAUUUACUGGGUGUAAAGGGAGCGUAGACGGCGAUGCAAGCCAGAUGUGAAAGCCCGGGGCUCAACCCCGGGACUGCAUUUGGAACUGUGUGGCUGGAGUGUCGGAGAGGCAGGCGGAAUUCCUAGUGUAGCGGUGAAAUGCGUAGAUAUUAGGAGGAACACCAGUGGCGAAGGCGGCCUGCUGGACGAUGACUGACGUUGAGGCUCGAAAGCGUGGGGAGCAAACAGGAUUAGAUACCCGGGUAGC